UACAGAGGUCUCAAGCGUUGUUCGGAUUCAUUGGGCGUAAAGGGUGUGUAGGUGGCGCCGUAAGUCGGGUGUGAAAUUUCGGAGCUUAACUCCGAAACUGCAUUCGAUACUGCGGUGCUUGAGGACUGGAGAGGAGACUGGAAUUCAUGGUGUAGCAGUGAAAUGCGUAGAGAUCAUGAGGAAGACCAGUGGCGAAGGCGGGUCGUCUGGACAGUUCCUGACACUGAGACACGAAGGCCAGGGGAGCAAACGGG
rnacentral:rRNA from 1 species